GAUGAACGCUAGCGGGAGGCUUAACACAUGCAAGUCGAGGGGUAUUGUAGCAAUACAUAAGACCGACGCACGGGUGAGUAACGCGUAUGCAACCUGCCGUUAACCGGGGGAUAGCCCGUCGAAAGGCGGAUUAAUACCCCAUCAUAUGGGGAUUCUGCAUGUGAUUUCAAUUAAAGCUGAGGUGGCUAACGAUGGGCCUGCGUGACAUUAGCUAGUUGGUAGGGUAACGGCCUACCAAGGGUACGAUGUCUAGGGGUUCUGAGAGGAAGGUCCCCCACAAUGGUACUGAGACACGGACCAGACUCCUACGGGAGAGAGCAGUGAGGAAUAUUGGUCAAUGGGCGAGAGCCUGAACCGGCCAUCCCGCGUGCAGGAAGACGGCCCUAUGGGUUGUAAACUGCUUUUGCGCAUGAAGAAUGUUACCGACGUGUCGGUAAGUGAUGGUAAUGCGUGAAUAAGCAUCGGCUAACUCCGUGCCAGCCGCCGCGGUAACAC
rnacentral:rRNA from 1 species